GAUGAACGCUGGCGGCGUGCCUAAUACAUGCAAGUCGAGCGAACAGAUAAGGAGCUUGCGCCUUUGACGUUAGCGGCGGACGGGUGAGUAACACGUGUGUAACCUACCUAUAAGACUGGAAUAACUCCGGGAAACCGGGGCUAAUGCCGGAUAACAUUUAGAACCGCGUUGUUCUAAAGUGAAAGAUGGUUUUGCUGUCACUUAUAGAUGGACCCGCGCCGUAUUAGCUAGUUGGUAAGGUAACGGCUUACCAAGGCAACGAUACGUAGCCGACGUGAGAGGCUGAUAGGCCGCACUGGAAGUGAGACACGCUCCAGAGGCCUAAGGGAGGCAGCAGUAGGGAAUGUUCCGCAAUGGGCGAAGGCCUGACGGAGCAACGCCAAGUGAGUGAUGAAGGUCUUCGGAUCGUAAAACUCUGUUAUUAGGUAAGAACAACUGUGUAAGUAAAUGUGCACGUCUUGACGGUACCUAAUCAGAAAGCCACGGCUAACUACGUG
rnacentral:rRNA from 1 species